rnacentral:lncRNA from 1 species
ACAGCUGGAAUGUGGCACGUGGGUCAGACCCUUCUGAGUCCAGUUGGGUAACUCAGCAGAGAUCAGAAUGAUCUUCAAAAACCAACAAGCCAUUGGCACGUAUCUUCAGGCAUGCUUGAAGUCUAUGGGGCCAAAUGGUAGAGUAUCCUGGCAGAGCCAAAAAGUCUUCUUUUAUGACACAGAAAAGAAAACUUCUUUCAAAGUAGUUAUGCAACCCAGGAGAACACAAUGCAUCCACUGUGUGUGUCCUGGGGCUGUCUAUGAACACAUGAUUUCAUAUUUUUGUCCUCUGUAAACUUCAGCAUUGAUGAUGAACAUUAUUUCAAGGAAAUAUCCCACUACUUUAUCUCUGUAAAGACAUCCAUAGAGAAUGAGGCGCCAGUGACAUUUUGCUGAAUUGCUUGUGGUGAAUUCUAAGAAAAAAUAAAAGAUAUUACUUUGAAGAAAAGGGGAAUGCUAGCAUGGAGCUCAUUGCCUGGAAGGAGAAGAGGCUGAAAACAUAAGUAGAGAAAAAUCAAUUUGGGGGCCUUUUAGAAAAUCUCACACCACUUCCUAGUUGGAGCAAUUAAACAAUAGAGAAGAUGGGUAUUCUGGAGCAGAAUUUAAUGAAACAGAACUCCACCAUCUAUGGCAAGUUUGACUGCUUGAGUCUCCAGAGGAUAAUAGUUGGAGGCCACUGAGGCCCAAAUUCAUCAGUCCGGCCAUUGAAGGACACAAGUGAACAAAGGAGGACGGCAAAGACAGAACUGUGAUAUUCAAACACUCAAUAGCUCACAGUGUCGGGGUUCAUUAUGACACUUACUAAGCACAUGCCAUAUUUCUGACACUGUGCUAAGAGUUUCAUGAACAUUAACUAAAUUAACCCCAUAAAAACGCCAUUAGAAAGAUGCAGUUUUGUACCCCCUUACACAGAUGAAGAAAAUAAAGUAUAGAGACUUUAAGAAAUUUGCCAGAAGUCUUAUAACUGAUUGGUUUGCCAUGGCUCUUUGAAACAGUUACUCUUGUCCUCAUUGUAGAGAUGGCGAUACUAAGGCAGAAUAUGGCUAGCCUGGACUUCUUUUUGUGGAGACUGGAUUCCAAGAUUGAAAGUAGAAGCUACAUGUUUUCUCCAAGCAGGGCUUUCAGACUUCACUUCUGCAACAUUUUAUUGAUGAAAGCAAGUCACAAGACCAGACUGAUUCAAGGGGUGGAGAAAUAGACCCUACUUCUUGAUGGAGGGAGGAGUAGAGUUACAUUGCAAAGGGAUCUGGACAAAAAAAGGAGUGAUUUAUUAGGAAUCAUGUUUAACAAUUUACCACAAUCCCCAGCGCAACUGCCUGUUAGCUGGAUCCAGAAAUGUCUACGACUACUGCAAUGCCACUUGGCCUUAGGGGUGAUGUGACCCAGUGUAAAGAGAUGGUGGUCUUAACCAAUCACAGUUAAGAUAGUUUAGUUUUGGAAGGUAUAAAAAAUAUGUAACAACAUGAAUGCACUUUUAGGGUCAGACAAGAGACUUGGAAAGAGCCUGCAAAAUGGAGGAGCCCUGAGGCCUAAGUCUCAUGAGUGUCAAUGCUUACCUGUAUCUAGACACUGGCAUCCCCCUUUUGAUAAGGCCAAGAUUGAUUGUUUUCCUUUUCUACCUACCCUAUAUCUAAUCCAUGUACAAACACUGUUGACACACAAAAGAACCCUAAAUUCAACAAUCUGUGAAGAAUUUUUGCACUAACAUGUUAGUUCAAAAACUCAACAUUGCUUGCUAAGACUAUUGCAAUAAACUCCUCUAUGAUCCCCUAAUUUGAUUCUUGCUCCUCUUAUUUUUUACACAGUCAUCAGAGUAAAUCUUUUCAAAGGUAAAUUGGAUUUUAUGACUUUU